GAACGCUGGCGGCAUGCUUUACACAUGCAAGUCGGACGGCAGCACAGAGAAGCUUGCUUCUUGGGUGGCGAGUGGCGAACGGGUGAGUAACAUAUCGGAACGUACCGAGCAGUGGGGGAUAACUAAUCGAAAGAUUAGCUAAUACCGCAUAUAUUCUGAGGAAGAAAGCAGGGGACCAUUUGGCCUUGCGCUGUUUGAGCGGCCGAUAUCUGAUUAGCUGGUUGGUGGGGUAAAGGCCUACCAAGGCGACGAUCAGUAGCGGGUCUGAGAGGAUGAUCCGCCACACUGGGACUGAGACACGGCCCAGACUCCUACGGGAGGCAGCAGUGGGGAAUUUUGGACAAUGGGCGCAAGCCUGAUCCAGCCAUGCCGCGUGUCUGAAGAAGGCCUUCGGGUUGUAAAGGACUUUUGUCAGGGAAGAAAAGGACAGGGUUAAUACCCCUGUCUGAU
rnacentral:rRNA from 1 species